rnacentral:rRNA from 1 species
AAUAGACUACCCGGUAGUCCUGGCCCUAAACGAUGUCCACUAGAUCGCGGCGCGGUUUGACCCGCCCGCGGUCGGAGCAAAAGUGUUAAGUGGACCGCCUGGGAAGUACGGUCGCAAGGCUAAAACUCAAAGGAAUUGACGGGGGCUCACACAAGCGGUGGAGCAUGUGGUUCAAUUCGAAGCAACGCGCAGAACCUUACCUGGGCUUGACAUGCUUGGAUUAUCCCGGUGAAAGCCGGGUAGGCCCCGCAAGGGGUACAACAAGUACAGGUGCUGCAUGGCUGUCGUCAGCUCGUGUCGUGAGAUGUCGGGUUAAGUCCCUUAACGAGCGAAACCUUUACCCUUAGUUACCAGCGGGUUAUGCCGGGGACUCUAAGGGGACCGCCGGUGUCAAACCGGAGGAAGGUGGAGAUGACGUCAAGUCCUCAUGGCCUUUAUGCCCAGGGCCACACACGUGCUACAAUGGCGCGCACAAAGCGACCCUAAACCGCGAGGUCAUGGAAAUCGCAGAAAUCGCGCCCCAGUUCAGAUCGGAGGCUGCAACUCGCCU